rnacentral:rRNA from 1 species
GACGAACGCUGGCGGCGUGCCUAAUACAUGCAAGUCGAACGCACAGUUUAUACCGUAGCUUGCUACACCAUAGACUGUGAGUUGCGAACGGGUGAGUAACGCGUAGGUAACCUGCCUGGUAGCGGGGGAUAACUAUUGGAAACGAUAGCUAAUACCGCAUAAUAUUAAUUAUUGCAUGAUAAUUAAUUGAAAGGUGCAAUUGCACCACUACCAGAUGGACCUGCGUUGUAUUAGCUAGUAGGUGAGGUAACGGCUCACCUAGGCGACGAUACAUAGCCGACCUGAGAGGGUGAUCGGCCACACUGGGACUGAGACACGGCCCAGACUCCUACGGGAGGCAGCAGUAGGGAAUCUUCGGCAAUGGACGAAAGUCUGACCGAGCAACGCCGCGUGAGUGAAGAAGGGUUUCGGAUCGUAAAGCUCUGUUGUAAGAGAAGAACGGGUGUGAGAGUGGAAAGUUCACACUGUGACGGUAGCUUACCAGAAAGGGACGGCUAACUACGUG